rnacentral:lncRNA from 1 species
UUUUUUUUUUUUUGGUCUUUUUGUCUUUUCUAGGACCACACCCUCGGCAUGUGGAGGUUCCCAGGCUAGGGUCUAAUUGGAGCUGUAGUAACUCGGGAUCCGAGCCACAUCUGUGACCUACACCACAGCUCAUGGCAACACUGGAUCCUUAACCCACUGAGCAAGGCCAGUGAUGGAACCCACAACCUCAAGGUUCCUAGUCAGAUUCAUUAACCACUGAGCCACAAUGAGAACUGGAAUCACUCUUUUGAUAUGCACCUCAGCUGUAGGCCAGUCUUCUUUGUUUCUUUCCCGAGUUCCCUCAGGGCUUACUGGCUCACCUUUGUUCUCACCCUGACUAUGACCUCUUUGGUUUUGUUCACUUUACAGCCCAGGAGGCAGUAUUCCAAAGAGGAAAGGGGGAGUAAGUCAUCAAGCUGAAGGGUGUGGAAAGUAACAUAAUGUCUUUUCUAUCAAAGGAAAUCUUGGUUACUCCAUUUUGCUCCAGUUUCGGCUGAAACACCCCCCUGCGACCCCCUUCCUCUUUACCUUUUCUCCCAGCAACAGUUUGUUUCAACUGGCCAAUCGGGAAGAAUGUGCACCCUGACCUGACCAAUGGGAAGGGGACAGGUAUACCACCUGCUACCACCUGCAUUAGGGAUAAAGAGAGAGGGUCUUAGCUUCAGCGUGCACACUUUUUGAGCACCUGCGCCCUUCUGCAGAAGUAAGGAGCCUUGUCAAGAUGUCCCCUUGUCCACAUGUCUCACUUUUCAACACUGACGACCCGAGCCAGAGUUAUCUUAUUUGCCAACAAGGGGGAGAUUUCUGUUGCCAAAAUUCGGCCUCUAUCUGCUGGUGCCAAAUUGAAAUGCAGAGACAGAGUUUGGGGUAAAGGAGAAAAAGAUAGCUUUAUUGUUUUGCCAGGCAAAAGGGGGCCAUAGCAGGCCAAUGCCUUAAAGACUGUGCCCGCCCCCCCCAAGUUGGGAAGAAUUGCAGGGAGUUUUAUAGUAAAAAGGAGAAAAAGGAGGUUUUCAGAUAGGAAUCAGGAUUGGGCAGACAUGCACUCUUCUUUCUUUGGGGGGAUCUUCUUCAUCAAAGCUGGAGUGGGGAGAUCUUGGUGUUGAGGCAGGAUGGUAACACUGUAGUUAGUGUAGGAGCGUGGGUUUCGUUGCAUUCUUUGAUGUGGCCAUUGAAAUCACUAACCCACUCCUCAACUGAUAGAAAAGGAAUGAGAGGAAUGGCGACUCUCAGUCUAAGAAGAGAAGAGCAAAGAAACCUUAAAACUUUUGGGGCAUUUCCACCUCUAAGACUCCUAUUGGACAAGGACUGAUAGAGGUAACUGGGCAAGGCCAAUGGGAGAAAACUACAUCCUUCUGGACCCCACAUUGGUACCCCCUCUUUAAGGGAUUAAAAACACCUAUAGGACAAUAGAGAGUGGGACUCUUCCUCCUCCUCCCAGUGUCUGUGCUGGGAGCUGUUUGCUUUCCUGUAAUAAAGACUUUGCUUGCUUGCUGCCUGUUGGUUCACGAGGUUGAUUCUUCAGCACCAUGAACAAGAACUCAGAUUCUGAUGUCAUCUUUCCAGCAUCAGCAUGAUCGUGGUGGUGGUCUUCUGGGAUAUUGCCUAGAAUAACGGUACUUGUGAAAUGGGCAUAUGACAAUGAGACACCAACAUCAAAUGCUUUCACUGACAUGCGGAAUCUGAAAAAAGGACAGACUGAACUUUGCAGAACAGAUGCUGACUCACAGACAUUGAAAAACCUGUGGUCUCUGGAGGAGACGGUUUGGGGGGUGGGGGGAUGUGCUUGGGCUGUGGGAUGGAAAUCCUGUGAAAUUAGAUUGUUAUGAUCAUUAUAAAAAAAUAAUAAAAUUACAUCCAAAAAAAAAAAAAAGAAAGAAAAGGGCAUAUGGAUCAGCGAUUCAAACAAACUAGGAAAGUUCCUGAAAAAUGACAUGUGCUCAUCAUCUUUAACCCACAGGCAAUUGUGCUCAGGGUGCUUAAUUUUUAGCUUAUGAGUGAUUGUGUUUAGGAUGCAAUUAAGCCAGGGAGACAGACAAGGAAGACUCUAAGCUGUUCAGUUUUAAAGUAUUCAUUUCUAAAAGAAGCAUAAGAAAUAUAACUUUUCUCUUAGGUGUAUAAGAUGCCUAUAUCAUCAUGUGUAUCCCUUGAGAGGGAACCAGGAUCCUGCCCCGAGGCUGUACUGUUGUUUCUUGACUGUUCCUCCCUGGUCUUCGCAUCCCCUUCCUUCCCUGAUCAGCAACUGUCUUUGAACCUGCUCCUUAGAACUCAGGGAAGGUCCUGGAGGCUGAAUGAGGCCCAUUUCCUAAGAAUAGGAAAUGGGGACACAGAAAGGCUUUUGUGCCCAGGAGCCCCACAGGGCCCUGCUUAGUUACGUCACUACUAGUCACAGACAUCAGUCAUCAUUGAAGGACUUUAGUGUUUUUCUAGAUAUGAGGAGAUGGAAGAAUUGGGCUCAUAAAAUCUCCUAAAACUAUCUAACCGUCUGAAGACCUGUUCUGCCAGUUUUCCCAGAGCUCAGAGUGCCCCACUCCUGGUCUCCACCCUGAGCUCCACUGGCGGGGGGCAGGGGUAGAGGCUGAUGACAACUGCCAACUUCAGCAUCGGUUCACAAGCCCCACCGGGUCCUGCUCAGUUUCAUUUAGUGCAGAAAUAUCUCUCUU